rnacentral:rRNA from 1 species
UGCCAGACUCCUACGGGAGGCAGCAGUGAGGAAUAUUGGUCAAUGGCCGGGAGGCUGAACCAGCCAAGUCGCGUGAGGGAAGACGGCCCUACGGGUUGUAAACCUCCUUUGUCAGGGAGCAAGGUGCAGGUCGGGACCUGCUAUGAGAGUACCUGAAGAAAAAGCAUCGGCUAACUCCGUGCCAGCAGCCGCGGUAAUACGGAGGAUGCGAGCGUCAUCCGGAUUUAUUGGGUUUAAAGGGUGCGCAGGCGGAGGCACAAGUCAGCGGUAAAAUCGCGGGGCUCACCCCCGCUCCGCCGUUGAAACUGUGUCCCUUGAGUGCGCGAAGGGUAGGCGGAAUGCGUGGUGUAGCGGUGAAAUGCGUAGAUAUACGGAGGAACACCAGUGGCGAAGGCGGAUUGCUGGACAGUAACUGACGCUGAGGCGCGAAAGCGUGGGGAGCAAACAGGAUUAGAUACCCGCGUAC